rnacentral:rRNA from 1 species
CUGCUGCCUCCCGUAGGAGUUUGGGCCGUGUCUCAGUCCCAAUGUGGCCGGUCACUCUCUCAGGCCGGCUACUGAUCGUCGCCUUGGUGAGCCCUUACCCCACCAACUAGCUAAUCAGACGCGGGUCCAUCUCAUACCACCGGAGUUUUUCACACUGGACCAUGCAGUCCCGUGCGCUUAUGCGGUAUUAGCAGUCAUUUCUAACUGUUAUCCCCCUGUAUGAGGCAGGUUACCCACGCGUUACUCACCCGUCCCG